AACCAGUACCGUGAGGGAAAGGUGAAAAGCACUUCGAACAGAAGAGUGAAAUAGUCCCUGAACCCAUACGCCUACAAGCAGUCGGAGCCGCUUCGUGCGGUGACGGCGUGCCUUUUGCAUAAUGAGCCUACGAGUUACUCAUCACCAGCGAGGUUAAGUACUUCAGGUACGUAAGCCGAAGCGAAAGCGAGUCUGAAUAGGGCGUCAAGUUGGUGGUGGUAGACGCGAAACCUUAGUGAUCUACCCAUGGGCAGGGUGAAGGUUUGGUAACACAAACUGGAGGCCCGAACCGGUAAACGUUGAAAAGUUUUCGGAUGACCUGUGGGUAGGGGUGAAAGGCCAAUCAAACUGGGAAAUAGCUCGUACUCUCCGAAAUGCAUUUAGGUGCAGCCUCUGUUGUUUUGUUCUAGAGGUAGAGCUACUGAUUGGAUGCGAGGGCUUCACCGCCUAUCAAAUCCGGCCAAACUCCGAAUGCUAGAACAUGAAGACAGGGAGUGAGCCAGCGGGUGCUAAGGUCCGUUGACGAAAGAGGGAGAACUCAGACCAUCAGCUAAGGUCCCCAAUUGUAUGCUAAGUUGGAAUUAAAACGGGGUGGGACUGCUUAGACAGCUAGGAUGUUGGCUUGGAAGCAGCCAUUCAUUUAAAGAGUGCGUAACAGCUCACUAGUCGAGCGGUCCUGCAUGGAUAAUACGCGGGCAUAAGCAUAUAACCGAAGCUAUGGGAUUGUAGAUGAUACAAUCGGUAGGAGAGCAUUCCAUUCAGCAUAGAAGCAGUACCGUGAGGUAUUGUGGAGCGGAUGGAAAAGCAAAUGUAGGCAUAAGUAACGAUAAUGCGGGUGAGAACCCCGCACGCCGAAAGAUCAAGGAUUCCCCGGCAAUGUCAAUCAUCCGGGGGUAAGUCGGAUCCUAAGGGUAAGCCGAGUGGCGAUCCCGAUGGCAAACAGGUUAAUAUUCCUGUACUGAUCAUAACUGCGAUGCAGCGACGCAGAGGUGACACUGCUGCGUACUGACGGAAUAGUACGUUGAAACCCGUAUUCUUUGAUACCGGUAGUGAAGCACGCCGGUAGAGAUGAAAGGUGAUAGUACCGCAAUGCUUCGGUUGCGCGGAUAACGCAGGUAAGCUGACUGCCAAGAAAACCUGCUAAGCUUCAGGUAAUGAUCAUCCGUACUGUAAACGGACACACGUGAUCAGGUAGAAAAUACUAAGGCGCUCGAGAGAUUCAUGGUUAAGGAACUAGGCAAAAUGGUCCUGUAACUUCGGGAUAAAGGACGCUCUUGUGAAAGAGCCGCAGAUAAUAGGCCCAGGCGACUGUUUACCAAAAACACAUGGCUAUGCUAAUUCGCAAGAAGAUGUAUAUGGCCUGACACCUGCCCGGUGCCGGAAGGUUAAGAGGAGAGCUCAGAGGCAACUCGAAGGUUUGAAUUGAAGCCCCGGUAAACGGCGGCCGUAACUAUAACGGUCCUAAGGUAGCGAAAUUCCUUGUCGGGU
rnacentral:rRNA from 1 species